GUGCCUUUUAGGCACUGAAUUUCAUAAAAAAGUUUGCUGGGAAGUUUUGGUUGCUGGUGCUGAGCAAGGUAUUGAGGCAGGACAAGUUGGGCUUCGAUUGAUUACUAAGGGUGAUAGGCAAACAACAGUUGCAAGGGAGUGGAGCAUCAGUGCGACAAGUAUUGCAGAUGGAAGGUGGCAUAUUGUGACGAUGACAGUUGAUGCUGAUUUAGGUGAGGC
rnacentral:misc_RNA from 1 species